rfam:Cajanus cajan CcLG11_1230, whole genome shotgun sequence.
UGUGUGCCUAUGAUGGUGUUAAAUAUACUCCGAGAUUUGUUUCUAUGACAUCAACUUCCAACUGAGGCACUAC